GGCUGUAGCUUAUUGUGAUAACUAAGGAUUGGGGUUUGAUGAGACAUGUUGCCUUGGUUAGGCUAUGGCUUGUUGCCAUAACUAAGUAGUGGGUUUUUGGUAAGAAAUAUUGCCUGUGUUAGGCUGUUAUUUCGAUAAUUAAGGAGCUGGGUUUUGGUGGUUAGUAUCGUCUGUUGUAUUGUAGAAUAUUUUUUUGUUAUUUCUGUUAUCUGUUUUAUACAAUAUUUCACGUUGAUGACAUCA
rnacentral:lncRNA from 1 species